AACUUCUGAAUGUUGACCUCGGAUCAGGUAGGAAUACCCGCUGAACUUAAGCAUAUCAAUAAGCGGAGGAAAAGAAACCAACAGGGAUUGCCCUAGUAACGGCGAGUGAAGCGGCAACAGCUCAAAUUUGAAAUCUGGCUCUCGGGCCCGAGUUGUAAUUUGUAGAGGAUGCUUUUGAUGCGGUGCCUUCCGAGUUCCCUGGAACGGGACGCCAUAGAGGGUGAGAGCCCCGUCUGGUUGGAUGCCAAAUCUCUGUAAAGCUCCUUCGACGAGUCGAGUAGUUUGGGAAUGCUGCUCUAAAUGGGAGGUAUAUGUCUUCUAAAGCUAAAUACCGGCCAGAGACCGAUAGCGCACAAGUAGAGUGAUCGAAAGAUGAAAAGCACUUUGAAAAGAGAGUUAAAAAGUACGUGAAAUUGUUGAAAGGGAAGCGUUUAUGACCAGACUUGGGCUUGGUUAAUCAUCUGGGGUUCUCCCCAGUGCACUUUUCCAGUCCAGGCCAGCAUCAGUUUUCGCCGGGGGACAAAGGCUUCGGGAAUGUGGCUCUCUCCGGGGAGUGUUAUAGCCCGUUGCGUAAUACCCUGGCGGGGACUGAGGUUCGCGC
rnacentral:rRNA from 1 species